rnacentral:lncRNA from 1 species
UUUUUAACACCAAGCAACUUAAGACUACUACCUAUGAAGUGUGUAGGAACAGCUAUGUUUUGUGGAAGAUAUUAUUGAAUACUGGCUACGUGACAAGGGGCAUGAGAACAAGUUCACAAGACCUGCUUAAGUGCAGCUGGACACGUAGGCAGGGCACGGUACCGUACAAUCUAGGAUAGAAAAAUGUGCAGCAGGAGAUAGAAACAGGCUCUUGGCUUAGACACCAGAAAACAAUAUAGAUAACAAUGUCCUGGGAAAAGUGCACAGCCUUCUACUGUAUCCACCUAUAAGGAGCUUGGCUUUUGCAAUAUGUAUGAGCUAAUUAACUCUGUUAUAUAAGUAAUAAGAUAAUUCUGAAUAAACUGAGACUUGUUGAUCAUCAUCGGAUGUGCUUGUCUCCCGUUGUUCUCCGACAAAUGGUGACCCCGACGUGCCACGAUGGAGCAACGAGUGGUCAGGUCCUUUGCAGCGAGGACGGCUAAAACACAGCGAAGAAAACUGUGUCGAGCCCCGGGCGUUCGCAUCAGCGUACCCAGCUGAAACAUGCUGCCGAGACCUUGGAGAGCUGCAACAGCGCACGCUGACAAUAUUCAGGACCUCUUUGGAUACCUGCAAGAUGGGCAAGACCUGUACUUGAUCCCCAAAGUUCCACGGAGUCAACAGAAAGGCACGGUGAUUGAAGAAGAGCUGAUCCAAUAUUACUGCGAUCGUGUGGUCCUGGAUCUACUGCAUCUUAUUUG